CCCAGGGUUCUGGACAAUCUGGGAGGGGUAGGCAAUGUACAAAGGGGGUAGAUGUAGUAGCAAAGUAAGAUUCUCAUAACACCCUGUUCUCUCAACUUCUCAGGAUCCUCAGGGUACCCUAGUGAACGGUGGCAGAUUUAAUGGCAAUCAAGACGGUUGGACAGAGUGAUAAUGGAAACAGCUUUGUGACACCAGUCAUCUAUGACUUCUGAAUAUUUUCCACCUGAUCUCAGUCUAUAAUCCUAAAUCUACCCUGAUGAUGAAGAAUUUCGCUUAGGAACGCAGAGAUCCUUUGUCCUUUUCCCAGUGCAAUGCAAAUAAACC
rnacentral:lncRNA from 1 species